AUGGGAAAUUCAAUCCCUCCUUGGCCACAUGGCAUCCACCACUGUUGUCACCCAGUUUGCAAGGCUACGGAUGCGUCCACUGCAAUUUUGGUUUCUCCAGAACUUCAGUCCCAUGCGGGACAACCAGAACAUGCAACUGUGCCUCCCGGCCAAAAUUCUCCAUUCCCUCCGGUGGUGGACAAAAAGGGAAAAUGCUUGCUCAGGAAUGCCAUUCCGACAGCCCCAUCCUUCCCGCUGUCUAACGACAGACGCAUCCCUACACGGAUGAGGAGCGCACCUCCAAGGUCUGACCGUCCACUGCAAGUGGUCUCACAAGGAAAAAGGCCACCACAUCAAUCUCCUCGAACUAUUAGCGGUGCAAAAAUCCCUGCGGGCAUUCGACCCCCUUAUCAGAGGAAAAGUGGUUCAACUGCUGACAGACAACACUACGGUGAAGUGUUAUAUCAACAAGCAGGGAGGAACGCACUCCCGAAACCUACUUCAUCUGACGAUUCAGAUUUGGGAGUGGUGCAUCCGCAGGCACACCCUUCUCAUCGCCAUUCAUCUUCCGGGGGAGGAAAAUGUCCUGGCCGAUGCCCUCAGCAGGACACCAACAUCGAAUCACGAGUGGCAGCUCCACCAGGAGGAAUUCCAACGCCUCGUCCAGCGGAGGGGCCGACCCUCGGUGGACCUCUUUGCAUCACCAACAAAUGCUCAGUGCAACAUGUUUUGUGCCAGACUUCGCCCCGGAGCAGCCCCGGGCUGCAUAGGGGAUGCGUUCAUGAUCACCUGGAGUCAAGGUCUCCUCUACGCGUUUCCCCCAAUCCCAAUGAUACCCAAGACAGUAACAAAAAUUAUAACAGACGUCGCGAGCUGUAUUCUGGUCACACCAUGGUGGCCGCGCCAGCAUUGGUUCACAGCAAUCCUCCAGGCCUCAAGAGAGGAGUACAUACGCCUGUCCCGCAGGGCAGACCUUCUGUCGAUCCGAGACGGUCAGAUACGCCAUCCAGACUUACCAUCACUAAGACUAACGGCGUGGCGAAUUCGUCCUCCCCCAGCCUUUCAUCAGCGGUCCAGGCCAUAAUUGACGCGGCCCAAAAACUAUCAACAAAAAAGUCUUACCUCUACAAAUGGUCCCGUUUUACCAACUUCACCAGGCCACGGGGGUUAGACCCAUACACAGCUCCCACACCGGUAAUCCUGGACUUCCUGGUCAGCCUAUCGGGUGCGGGACUCUCAUUGUCAUCUCUGAAGUCCUACCUAGCGGCAAUUUCCUGGCAUAGAAGACAAAAGGGAUCCCCCUCAUGCUUUCUUGACCCAGUGAUUAGACUAUUCCUCAAAGGUUACACAAACUUGCAUCCCCCUUUGGCCCCACCCUGCCCGGCCUGGAGCUUGGAGCUCGUGCUGUCACAAUUAUCCAAGGCCCCAUUUGAGCCCAUGGCGACGUGUGAUCUCUCUCACCUUUCGUGGAAAACAGCCUUCUUGGUGGCCAUAACAUCGGCAAGACGCGUAAGUGAGAUCUGCGCAUUGAGAGCAGACCCACCUUAUAUACGCUUUCACAAAGAGAAAGUUAUUCUACGGCCGGAUAUCAAGUUCCUUCCCAAGGUGGUCUCCCGGUUCCACCUUUCCCAGGAUAUCUCCCUGCCAGCCUUUUUUCAGCACCCAACCUCACCGUUAGAGAUAGCCCUGCACUCAUUAGACGUCAGAAGGGCCCUAGCCUUCUAUACCAACAGGACAGCCCCCCUAAGAAAGUCAGUGAGACUGUUCAUAAAAUACCGGAAAGAUGUACUGGGUCUCCCAGUAUCGACCCAACGGAUGUCUUCUUGGAUUGUUUCAACAAUCAGGUUGGCUUACCAACUAGCUGGCAGAGACCCUCCAUCUCAGAUCUCGGCACACUCUACUAGAGCCGUCUCGACGUCCCAGGCUUUUCUCAGGGGCAUCCCUGUAGAUGACAUCUGCCGAGCAGCAACCUGGUCUACACCACUGACCUUUGCUACUCACUACAAGAUGGACGCCGUUGCACGGAAGGAUGCAGCUUUCGGCAGAGCUGUGCUCGCUUCCUGCGUGGCAUGA
rnacentral:lncRNA from 1 species